rnacentral:rRNA from 1 species
AUGUCUAUUGGCAGCUGUGGAUCCUGUGGAUAUGCUCUAAAUCUUUCAUCUUCUAACAGAAGCACAUCUGACGUAGGAUCCUCGUACCAAAAAUCUCUGAAGAAGGGUCUGAUUUCAUUCACUUCUAUUGAUCUCAGCCGUUUUACUCAGGUUGACGAGAUAUCUUGUUUUCCUUUCCUUACCUGGCGUAGCUACCGGCCAAAAACUAAGCUUCUGUGCCGAAAAUGUGGAUCAUCUAUUGGCUAUGGAUACGUAUACAAGGAGCAUGCCCAGUGCCUUCCAAAGAUGUUGGCCCGUUCUCCAUAUCUUAAGUUGAUAUCCCUUGCGGGGCUUAAUGAGCUAUCUGAUUCAGCUCUGUAUGAAGUGGGAGUUUCUGGAACAUCUUUGCAGUCCUUCUCAUUGUACUCCUGUUCUGGCAUAACAGAUGAUGGUCUAGCACAAGUGUCAAUCGGAUGUCCUAAUUUGGUUAUAGUGGAACUUUACCGCUGCUUAAAUAUCACCGAUCUUGGUUUGGAAAGUCUUUCCAAGGGCUGUCAUUCUUUGAAGAGUCUUAACCUUGGUUACUGCACAGCCAUUUCAGAUCGAGGGAUUAGUUCAAUCUUUAGGAAUUGCCGAAACAUUUGUGCACUCAUCAUAUCAUAUUGCAGAGGUGUAUCUGGUGUUGGAUUUAGAGGUUGCCCAAGUACACUUUCUUACCUAGAAGCUGAGUCCUGCAUGCUUUCUCCAGAGGGAAUGCUAGACAUAUCGAGUGGUGGUGGACUCCAGUACAUAAAUUUGUAUAAUCUAAGGAGUUCAGCUGGGCUGGAUUGCCUAGGUGGAGUUGGCAGUAUGAAGAAACUCCGAGUUCUGAAUCUGAGGAUGUGCCGCAAUCUUACUGAUGAUUCUGUGGUGGCAAUAGCUAGCGGGUGUCCGUUGAUUGAGGAGUGGAGCCUUGCUGUCUGUCAUGGCGUCCGCUUACCUGGUUGGUCGGCGAUUGGAUUGAACUGCAACAAGCUAAGAAUUCUUCAUGUGAACCGUUGCAGAAACAUAUGCGACCAAGGAUUGCAGGCUCUCAAGGACGGAUGUGUGCGCCUUGAGGUCUUGCAUAUACAUGGCUGUGGAAAGAUUACAAAUAAUGGCCUGGCACUGUUCAGCAUUACUAGGCCUAGUGUGAAGCAAAUGGUGGAUGAAGCCAUGUCCAUUGGCCCCUCCAUCGAGGAUUUAUUCCGGUUGCAGUGA